GACGAACGCUGGCGGCGUGCCUAAUACAUGCAAGUAGGACGCAGUUGCGAACGGGUGAGUAACGCGUAGGUAACUACCUAUUAGAGGGGGAUAACUAUUGGAAACGAUAGCUAAUACCGCAUACUAGUAGAUGGACCUGCGUUGUAUUAGCUAGUAGGUAGGGUAAUGGCCUACCUAGGCAACGAUACAUAGCCGACGUGGGGAGGGGAUCGGCCAAAAUGGGAAUGAGACACGGGCCAAGCUCCUGCGGGAGGGAGCAAGAGGGAAUCUUAGGGAAUGGGGGGAACCCUGAACGAGCAACGCCGGGGGAGUGAAGAAGGUUUUCGGAGCGGAAAGCUCUGUUGGUAAGGAAGCGGUACUUAACCAGAAAGGGACGGCUAACUACGUGCCAGCAGCCGCGGUAAUUC
rnacentral:rRNA from 1 species